CAGUAGUGACGUGAGCAUAGCGGAAGUGACUACGGCCGCGGUGUCGUGCUGUGACGAAGGGAGAUGGCAUUGUAUACGCUAGAACGGGGUUCUGCCUACCUCGAGACCGCUGCUGUUCGGAGACCUGCAGGUGAAUGCCCCAUCACCAUGUCUGACCAGGAGGCAAAACCUUCAACUGAGGAUUUGGGGGAUAAGAUAAAAGAUGAAGAUAUUAAACUCAGGGUUAUUGGACAGGAUAGCAGUGAGAUUCACUUCAAAGUGAAAAUGACAACACCUCUCAAGAAACUCAAGGAAUCGUACUGUCAGAGACAGGGCGUUCCAGUGAAUUCCCUCAGGUUUCUCUUUGAAGGUCAGAGAAUUGCUGAUAAUCAUACUCCAGAAGAACUGGGAAUGGAGGAAGAAGAUGUGAUUGAAGUUUAUCAGGAACAAAUCGGGGGUCAUUCAACAGUUUAGACAUUCUUUUUUUUUUUCCUUUUCCCUCAGUCCUUUUUUAUUUUUAAAAUAGUUCGUAUGUAACGUGGAAUUUAAAACGGAAUUGAAAACAGGCACUCUAUCUCUUUAAAACAUCUGAUAAUUUGAAUUCUAGUUCUCAUUAUUCAUUAUUGUUUGUUUUCAUUAUGCUGAUUUCUGGUGAUCAAGGCUCAGUCCUCUUCAUAUUGCCCUCUCCUUUUAUAAAAAUUACGUGUGCACAGAGAGGCCACCUUUUUCAGGACUGUACAUUUUCAGAUGACAAGAUCGACCAAUGCAAGUGUUCAUAAUGACUUUCCACUUGGCCCUGAUGUUCAACCAUGUGAUUGUUUCACUCCUGGACUAUGACUUUUGGUGGGAGAUGGAAGUUUUUUAAAGAACUGAGCUGUGGAAAAAUGACUUCUCCUUAACAACUGGAAGCUAUUUUUAAAAUUUGAGGGUCUGGACCAAAAGAAAAGGAGCAUCAGGUUAAGUCAAGAUGACAGAUAAGGUUGAACUUAAUGACUAACUCCAAAGAUGGCUUCCCUGAAGAAAAGGCAUUUGAAGAUUUUUUUUUCUUAAUCUUGUCAGAAGAUCCCAGAAAAGUUCUAAUUUUCAUUAGCAAUAAAGAUAUACAUGCAGAAA